AGAAGGUGCUCCUCCAAAGCCUCCAGAAGAUGCUCCUCCGAAGCCUCCAGAAGAUGCUCCUCCGAAGCCUCCAGAAGGUGCUCCUCCAAAGCCUCCAGAAGGUGCUCCUCCGAAGCCUCCAGAAGGUGCUCCGCCGAAGCCUCCAGAAGGUGCUCCUCCGAAGCCUCCAGAAGAUGCUCCUCCAAAGCCUCUAGAAGGUGCUCCUCCAAAGCCUCCAGAAGGUGCUCCUCCAAAGCCUCCAGAAGGUGCUCCUCCAAAGCCUCCUGAAGGUGCUCCUGAGAACUGAGACGAGGAGCCCGACGCAGCUGCGUACGAUCCUCGACCA